CUACGGGGCGCUCCAGUGGGGAAUCUUGGACAAUGGGCGCAAGCCUGAUCCAGCCAUGCCGCGUGAGUGAAGAAGGCCUUAGGGUCGUAAAGCUCUUUCGCCAGAGAUGAUAAUGACAGUAUCUGGUAAAGAAACCCCGGCUAACUCCGUGCCAGCAGCCGCGGUAAUACGGAGGGGGUUAGCGUUGUUCGGAAUUACUGGGCGUAAAGCGUGCGUAGGCGGACUAGUCAGUCAGGGGUGAAAUCCCGGGGCUCAACCCCGGAACUGCCUUUGAUACUGCUAGUCUAGAGUUCGAGAGAGGUGAGUGGAAUUACGAGUGUAGAGGUGAAAUUCGUAGAUAUUCGGAGGAACACCAGUGGCGAAGGCGGCUCACUGGCUCGAUACUGACGCUGAGGUGCGAAAGUGUGGGGAGCAAACAGGAUUAGAUACCCCCGUAGUC
rnacentral:rRNA from 1 species